CAAGUCGUGCGGGAUCGGAAUAGCUAUGUUCCGUGAGAGCGGCGGAAGGGCGAGUAUCGCGUGGGUGACCUGCCCACCAGGUGGGGAUAACCUUCUGAAAAGAAGGCUAAUACCGAAUGAAACGGGAGGCGGCAUCGCUUCCUUGUCAAAGGCUGGGACCGCAAGGCCAGCCCCUGGAGGAUGGGCCCGCGUGCCAUCAGCUUGUUGGUGAGGUAACGGCUCACCAAGGCGAUGACGGCUAGCUGGUCUGAGAGGACGACCAGCCGCACUGGGACUGAGAUACUGCCCAGACUCCUACGGGAGGCUGCAGUCGAGGAUCAUUCGCAAUGGGGGAAACCCUGACGAUGCGACGCUGCGUGGAGGAUGAAGGCCCUCGGGUCGUAAACUCCUGUCAUGCGGGGCGAAGCGGAGAGUGUUAAUAGCACUCCGAGCAGACGGUACCGCAAGAGGAAGCCACGGCUAACUCUGUGCCAGCAGCCGCGGUAAUACAGAGGUGGCGAGCGUUGUUCGGAUUUACUGGGCGUAAAGGGCGCGUAGGCGGCGAGGUGUGUUGGAUGUGAAAUCUCCGGGCUCAACCCGGAAAGUGCGUUCAAAACUGCCUUGCUUGAGAACGGAAGGGGAGUGCGGAAUACAGGGUGUAGCGGUGAAAUGCGUUGAUCUCCUGUAGAACACCGGUGGCGAAGGCGGCACUCUGGGACGUUUCUGACGCUGAGGCGCGAAAGCAGGGGGAGCAAACAGGAUUAGAUACCCUGGUAGUCCCUGCCCUAAACGGUGUACACUUGCCGUGGCUGGUUUUCACCCCAGCCGUGGCGGAGCUAACGCGUUAAGUGUACCGCCUGGGGAGUACGGCCGCAAGGCUAAAACUCAAAGAAAUUGACGGGGGCCCGCACAAGCGGAGGAGCAUGUGGCUUAAUUCGAUGCAACGCGAAGAACCUUACCCAGGUUUGACAUGCAGCUGCAAGUCCCAUGAAAGUGGGAUCCCUUCGAGGGUGCUGCACAGGUGCUGCAUGGCUGUCGUCAGUUCGUGCCGUGAGGUGUUUGGUUAAGUCCAGCAACGAACGCAACCCCUGCGCUUAGUUACCAGCGAGUAAUGUCGGGGACUCUAAGCGGACUGCCCGUGCAAGCGGGAGGAAGGUGGGGAUGACGUCAAGUCAGUAUGGCCCUUACGCCUGGGGCUGCACACGUGCUACAAUGGCCGGUACAAUGGGAUGCUAGACCGCGAGGUGACGCAAACCCCCAGAACCGGCCCCAGUUCGGAUAGGAGUCUGCAACUCGACUCCUUGAAGCCGGAUUCGCUAGUAACGGCGUAUCAGCUACGACGCCGUGAAUACGUUCCCGGGCCUUGUACACACCGCCCGUCACAUCAUGAAAGCCGUCUGCACCCGAAGCCGGCCAGCCWACCCGCAAGGGAGGCGCCCGUCUAAGGUGUGGGUGGUGAUUGGGAUG
rnacentral:rRNA from 1 species